GCUGUAAGCUCAGUGGUAGAGCACUUGCCUAGCAUGCUUGCGGCCCUGGGUUCAAUCCCAGUACUGUA
rnacentral:tRNA from 1 species